rnacentral:tmRNA from 1 species
GGGGGCGUACCGGUUUCGACCUGGACGACCUGUCGGAUGCGGCAUGCCGAGGACGAUCCGUUGGCCUCGUUAAUCAUCGGGUCAAAAAUCGACUGCCAACGAAGAAAUGGCUCUCGCGGCCUAAUUAGGCCGUGACGUCUCCCGGGGACACCUGCUUACCGGGUCAGGCGCUGCAGCAGGUUAGGCGGGAAACGGAGACCGCGCGUCUCCUGCCGAAGCUAUUGCAUGCGGACUACGCGGCGCGAUUGGCGUCGGUGCCCUAUCGCGUGGCGGAUUCUCUCCACCGACUAAGCAUGUAGUCGUGACCGGCAGACCGGCCAUGGGACGCGGGUUCAACUCCCGCCGCCUCCACCA